rnacentral:rRNA from 1 species
GAUGAACGCUAGCGGGAGGCCUAACACAUGCAAGCCGAGCGGUAUUUGUCUUUCGGGACAGAGAGAGCGGCGUACGGGUGCGGAACACGUGUGCAACCUGCCUUUAUCAGGGGGAUAGCCUUUCGAAAGGAAGAUUAAUACCCCAUAAUAUAUGAUUCGGCAUCGGAUUAUAUUGAAAACUGAGGUGGAUAAAGAUGGGCACGCGCAAGAUUAGAUAGUUGGUGAGGUAACGGCUCACCAAGUCGAUGAUCUUUAGGGGGCCUGAGAGGGUGAUCCCCCACACUGGUACUGAGACACGGACCAGACUCCUACGGGAGGCAGCAGUGAGGAAUAUUGGACAAUGGGUGAGAGCCUGAUCCAGCCAUCCCGCGUGAAGGACGACGGUUCUAUGGAUUGUAAACUUCUUUUAUAUAGGGAUAAACCUACUUACGUGUAAGUAGCUGAAGGUACUAUAUGAAUAAGCACCGGCUAACUCCGUGCCAGCAGCCGCCGUAA